UGAAUACGAGAUGCUACGGCGUCGAAGCAGUGUAUGUCAGACUUCCAAGAAAAGCUCGCAAUGUCAUAAAUAAAGAAUGCCUGUACCAUAACCGACACAGGUGGGUAGGUAGAGCAUACUAAGGGGCGCGAGAUAACUCUCUCUAAGGAACUCGGCAAAAUGACUCCGUAACUUCGGGAGAAGGAGUGCCUUAUUUAUAAGGUUGCAAUAACAAGAUCCAAGCAACUGUUUAUCAAAAACACAGGUCUCCGCUAAGUCGUAAGACGAUGUAUGGGGGCUGACGCCUGCCCAGUGCCAGAAGGUUAAAGAAGUUGGUUAGUGUAUGCGAAGCUGAUGACUGAAGCCCUGGUGAACGGCGGCCGUAACCAUAACGGUCCUAAGGUAGCGAAAUUCCUUGUCGGGUAAGUUCCGACCCGCACGAAAGGCGUAAUGAUUUGGAUACUGUCUCGGAGAGAGGCUCGGUGAAAUAGACUUGUCUGUGAAGAUGCGGACUACCUGCACCAGGACAGAAAGACCCUAUGAAGCUUUACUGUAACUUGAAAUUGGAAUUGGACUUUGCUUGCGCAGUAUAGGUGGGAAGCGUUGAAGAUAUUCUUGCGGGAGUAUUGGAGCUAUCAGUGAGAUACCACUCUUGUAAUGUUAGAUUUCUAACUUUGAACCAUAAUCUGGUCAAAGAACAGUUUCAGGUGGGCAGUUUGACUGGGGCGGUCGCCUCCCAAAUGGUAACGGAGGCGUACAAAGGUUUCCUCUGAACGGAUAGAAAUCGUAUCUAGAGUGUAAAGGCAUAAGGAAGCUUGACUGUGAGACCUACAAGUCGAGCAGGGACGAAAGUCGGUCUUAGUGAUCUGACGGUACUGAGUGGAAAGGCCGUCACUCAACGGAUAAAAGUUACUCUAGGGAUAACAGGCUGAUCUCCCCCAAGAGUUCACAUCGACGGGGAGGUUUGGCACCUCGAUGUCGGCUCAUCGCAUCCUGGGGCGGUAGUACGUCCCAAGGGUUGGGCUGUUCGCCCAUGAAAGCGGUACGCGAGCUGGGUUCAGAACGUCGUGAGACAGUUCGGUCCAUAUCCGGUGUAGGCGUUAGAAUAUUGAGAGGAGCCUUCUUUAGUACAAGAGGACCGAGAAGGACACACCGCUGGUGUACCAGUUAUCGUGCCAACGGUAAACGCUGGGUAGCUAUGUGUGGAGUGGAUAACCGCUGAAAGCAUCUAAGUGGGAAGCCCACCUCAAGAUGAGUAUUCUCACAGGGUUAACCUGGUAGGGUCACGGGAAGACACCCGUUAAUAGGCACUCGGUGGAAGUUCAGCAAUGAAUGAAGCCAAGGUGUACUAACAGACC
rnacentral:rRNA from 1 species